AAUAUCUGAUACGUCCUCUAUCC
rnacentral:piRNA from 1 species